CAUGUAGCGCCAGCCACACCAGGAACAGAAGGGUGCCGGGUACCUUCCGCAUGCUUGGUAUUCUCCCCGCGGGGCUCUGACCGCUGCCGCUCUCAGGCACCUGUCUUUCCUCUCCGUCCCAGAAUGGAGCCAAGACAAGGGAAUAAACGAAAUUCAAUAGUACACGGAGAUCGGGUGUCUGGGCAGCGUCUUGGAAAAACUAUCCACUACAGAUUUGCAUCCUUUUACACGUUUCCAAGAAAGUGAUGUAGUAGCUGCAUGAUC
rnacentral:lncRNA from 1 species